rnacentral:rRNA from 1 species
UACAGGGGUCUCAACCGUUGUUCGGAUUCAUUGGGCGUAAAGGGUGCGUAGGCGGUCGCGCAAGUCGGAUGUGAAAUCUCAGGGCUCAACCCUGAAACUGCAUUCGAUACUGCGUGGCUAGAGUGCUGGAGAGGAGACUGGAAUUUACGGUGUAGCAGUGAAAUGCGUAGAUAUCGUAAGGAAGACCAGUGGCGAAGGCGAGUCUCUGGACAGCAACUGACGCUGAGGCACGAAGGCCAGGGGAGCAAACAGG